AUGCCAAGCACUCAUUUGACACCCAAUGCAUAUGAUGAGGUGGGAAAAGAAUUCUUGCUGAGAACUGGACUUGAGUACACACCAAAGCAAGUGAGGAACAAAUGGACCAAGUUAAAACGUGAGUACAACACAUUCAAGAAGCUCAAGUUGCACGAGACUGGAGGGGGUUGGGACUUUGAGAAAAACACUGUGAAACAAGAUAAUGAGUGGUGGAAAAAGGCGAAAGUUUUAAGUUCUCACGUUGUGGCAAGUUUAAGAAGCAUGGACUUCAUAAUGAAGAAGGCUUGUGCAUCUUGUUUGAGGAUAUUAGUGUUGAUGGAAGUGGCCAUUGGAACCCGCAUCUGGUGGACUCCCUCACCCCCCUCUAGUUUGGCAUUGAAAACCAUCUUGAAUGUUGAUGAAAUCACCGAUCUUGAUUUGUAG
rnacentral:rRNA from 1 species